rnacentral:rRNA from 1 species
CAGUCGCCGCGUUAAUACGUAGGGUGCGAGCGUUAAUCGGAAUUACUGGGCGUAAUGCGUGCGCAGGCGGUUGUGUAAGACAGGUGUGAAAUCCCCGGGCUUAACCUGGGAACUGCGCUUGUGACUGCACAGCUAGAGUAUGGCAGAGGGGGGUGGAAUUCCACGUGUAGCAGUGAAAUGCAUAGAGAUGUGGAGGAACACCGAUGGCGAAGGCAGCCCCCUGGGCCAAUACCGACGCUCAUGCACGAAAGCGUGGGGAGCAAACAGGAUUAGAGACCCGUGUAGUCCCUGUCUCUUAUAC